rnacentral:rRNA from 1 species
GUGGGGAAUAUUGGACAAUGGGCGCAAGCCUGAUCCAGCCAUGCCGCGUGUGUGAAGAAGGCCUUCGGGUUGUAAAGCACUUUUGUCCGGGAAGAAAUCUUCCAGGUUAAUACCCUGGGAGGCUGACGGUACCGGAAGAAUAAGCACCGGCUAACUUCGUGCCAGCAGCCGCGGUAAUACGAAGGGUGCAAGCGUUACUCGGAAUUACUGGGCGUAAAGCGUGCGUAGGUGGUUCGUUAAGUCUGCCGUGAAAGCCCCGGGCUCAACCUGGGUAUGGCGGUGGAUACUGGCGGGCUAGAGUGCGGUAGAGGGUGGUGGAAGUCCCGGUGUAGCAGUGAAAUGCGUAGAGAUCGGGAGGAACAUCUGUGGCGAAGGCGGCCACCUGGACCAGCACUGACACUGAGGCACGAAAGCGUGGGGAGCAAACAGGAUUAGAAACCCCGGUAGUCC